rnacentral:rRNA from 1 species
AGUGAACGCUGGCGGUAGGCCUAACACAUGCAAGUCGAACGGCAGCACAGUAAGAGCUUGCUCUUACGGGUGGCGAGUGGCGGACGGGUGAGGAAUACAUCGGCAUCUACUUUUUCGUGGGGGAUAACGGAAGGAAACUGACACUACUACCGCAUACGACCUACGGGUGGAAGCAGUAGAUCUUCGGAGCUUGCGCGAUUGAAUGAGCCGACGUCGGAUUAGCUAGGUGGCCGGGUAACGGCACACCAAGCCGACGAUCCGUAGCUGGCCUGAGAGGAUGGUCGGCCACACUGGAGCUGAGCCACGGUCCAGAGUCCUACGGGAGGCAGCAGUAGGGAGUCUUGCGCAAUGGGCGAAAGCCUGACGGAGCAACGCCGCGUGAGUGAUGAAGGUCUUCGGAUCGUAAACCUCUGUUAUUAGGGAAGAACAAAUGUGUAAGUAACUCUGCACGUCUUGACGGUACCUAAUCAGAAAGCCACGGCUAACUACGUG